rnacentral:tRNA from 1 species
GCCCCCAUCGUCUAGUGGCCUAGGAUCUCGCGUUCUCAGCGCGAAGACCGGGGUUCGAGUCCCCGUGGGGGUA